rnacentral:rRNA from 1 species
GACGAACGCUGGCGGCGGGCUUAACACAUGCCAGUCGAACGGAAAGGCCCUGCUUUUGUGGGGUGCUCGAGUGGCGAACGGGUGAGUAACACGUGAGUAACCUGCCCUUGACUUUGGGAUAACUUCAGGAAACUGGGGCUAAGACCGGAUCGGAGCUCCCGCUGCAUGGUGGGGGGUGGAAAGUUUCGGCGGUUGGGGAUGGACUCGCGGCUUAUCAGCUUGUUGGUGGGGUAGUGGCUUACCAAGGCAUUGACGGGUAGCUGGCCUGGGAGGGUGACCGGGCACAUUGGGACUGAGAUACGGCCCAGACUCCUACGGGGGGCAGCAGUGGGGAAUAUUGCACAAUGGGCGGAAGCCUGAUGCAGCGACGCCGCGUGCGGGAUGCCGGCCUUCGGGUUGUAAACCGCUUUCGCCUGUGACGAAGCGUGAGUGACGGUAAUGGGUAAAGAAGCACCGGCUAACUACGUG